GACGAACGCUGGCGGCGUGCCUAAUACAUGCAAGUAGAACGCUGAAGGAGGAGCUUGCUUCUCUGGAUGAGUUGCGAACGGGUGAGUAACGCGUAGGUAACCUGCCUGGUAGCGGGGGAUAACUAUUGGAAACGAUAGCUAAUACCACAUAAUAGUAGAUGUUGCAUGACAUUUGCUUAAAAGGUGCAAUUGCAUCACUACCAGAUGGACCUGCGUUGUAUUAGCUAGUUGGUGGGGUAACGGCUAACCAAGACGACGAUACAUAGACGACCUGAGAGGGUAAGAGGCCACGCUGGUGCGGAAGCACGGCCCAGAGCCCUAGGAGAGAGAGCAGUACGGAAUCUUUAGGAAUGGAAGGAGGUGUGAACGAUCAACGCUGCGUGAGUGAAGAAGGUUUUCGGAUCGUAAGGGUCAGUAGUAAGAGAGGAACGAGUAUGAGAGUGGCAAGUUCACACUGUGACGGUAUCUGAACAGAAAGGGACGGCUAACUACGUG
rnacentral:rRNA from 1 species